UACAGAGACUGCAAGCGUUAUUCGGAUUCACUGGGCGUAAAGGGUGCGCAGGCGGCCGUGUGUGUGAGGCGUGAAAGCCCGGGGCUCAACCCCGGAAUUGCACCUCAAACUACAUGGCUAGAGCAUUGGAGAGGGUAGCGGAAUUCACGGUGUAGCAGUGAAAUGCGUAGAUAUCGCGAGGAACACCAGAGGCGAAGGCGGCUACCUGGACAAUUGCUGACGCUCAGGCACGAAAGCGUGGGGAGCAAAAGGG
rnacentral:rRNA from 1 species